CCUACGGGCGGCAGCAGUGAGGAAUAUUGGUCAAUGGACGAGAGUCUGAACCAGCCAAGUAGCGUGAAGGAUGACUGCCCUAUGGGUUGUAAACUUCUUUUAUCUGGGAAUAAAAUGUUCCACGUGUGGGAUUUUGUAUGUACCAUAUGAAUAAGCAUCGGCUAACUCCGUGCCAGCAGCCGCGGUAAUACGGAGGAUCCGAGCGUUAUCCGGAUUUUUUGGGUUUAAAGGGAGCGUAGGUGGAUUGUUAAGUCAGUUGUGAAAGUUUGCGGCUCAACCGUAAAAUUGCAGUUGACACUGGCAGUCUUGAGUACAGUAGAGGUAGGCGGAAUGCGUGGUGUAGCGGUGAAAUGCUUAGAGAUCACGAAGAACUCCGAUUGCGAAGGCAGCUCACUGGACUGCAACUGACACUGAGGCUCGAAAGUGUGGGUAUCAAACAGGAUUAGAUACCCUAGUAGUC
rnacentral:rRNA from 1 species